rnacentral:lncRNA from 1 species
CCCGAGUUCAGAUGAUUUUCCUGCCUCAACCUCCCGAGUAGCUGGGAUUACAGGCACACACCACCACUCCCGGCUAAUUUUUGUAUUUUUAGUAGAGAUGGGGUUUCACCAUGUUGGCCAGGCUGGUCUUGAACUCCUGACUUCAAAUGAUCCACCCACCUCGGCCUCCCAAAGUGCCUGGAUUACAGGCGUGAGCCACUGUGCCCGGCCUCUCAUUUUCUCUCUCAUUCUCUCUUUCUCUCUCUUAUUCUCUCUUUCAUUCUCUUUCUCUCUCCCACUCUGUUUCUCUCAUUCUCCCUCCCAGUCUCUCCGUCUCUCUUCUUUUGCAUAAUUCUGUCAUUCUCUUUCUCUCUCAUUCUCUCUCCCACAAUCUCUCUCUUUCUCUCCCUCUUCUUUCCCUCUCUCUUUUUGCAUGACUCUGUCAUUCUCUCUCAUUCUUUCUCCCACUCAGUUUUCUCUCUUUUUGCAUGACUCUGUCACUCUCUCUCUCUGUCAUUCUCUCGCUCUGUGUCUUUCUCCCUCCGCCUCCCCAGCCCCCACUAUUCUAGAGUCUUUUCUCUUCCCCCUUCACACACUGAAAUGUCACAACAAUGCGAGCCAUUUUCCUCCCAGUCUCAUGGAGACCCAGAAACUUAGAGGUUCUCCUAUAUUUGAGUAAAACAUUCUCAUUUCAGGCUGAGCGCGGUGGCUCACACCUGUAAUCCCAGCACUUUGAGAGGCCAAGCGGGGGCAGGUCUCUUGAGUCCAAAGUUUGAGACCAGCCUGGGCAACAUGGCAAAACCCUGUCUCUACUAAAAAUACAAAAAGAAUUUGCCUGAUGAGGGGCUGCAUACCCAUGGACCCAGCUACUCAGGGGGCUGAGGUGGGAGGAUCACUUGAGCCUGGGAGGUCAAGGCUGCAGUGAGACAUGAUUGCACCAUUGCACUCCAGCCUCGGCAACAGAGCAAGACCCUGUCUCAAGAAAAAGAGAAAAAAUAUCAUUCUCAUUUCAAGCCAUUUAUCCCCUCUUUUCUCACACAUAGAAGCAAGCUUGGUUUCAUUUCUCUAAUUUUCGAUGUAGCAUGUUUAAGCAGUAGGAGAGAUACCUGGACCUCUAGAUGCUAAUUAACAUUGGCAUUGAUGAGACACGUCUGCCUACUUAAUGAACACGUUCUGAUCGCUCCUGUUUUGAGGCAGUAUGCUGAGAGUCAGAAAUAAAAAGGCUGAGGGAAACAUUAUAUUCUCCUUUCCAGAUGAUAUAGUCUAAUGGGAAAUGCAGGUUUAUGAACAAAUAACCAGGACUUACUGUUAGACAUAGUACAUAGCACAUAGCAAAUUUAACAAAAUAGUUUAUCUUUGCUGUGUGUUUGUGUGUGUGUGUGUGUGUGUGUGUGCACGCGCGCAUGGGUGUCUGUCUCUCUUUUUCCCCCUCAGCAGACAAAAGACGAGGAUGACCUUUAGAAGGCUUGGAGGCAGAUGGAUGCUGCGGUGUGAAUGUGUGUGACCCCCAAAAUUCCUAUGUUGAAAUGCUAACCCCCAAAGUCAUGAGGUUAGGAGGUGGGACCUUUGGGAGGUGCUGAUGUCAUGAGGGUGGGGCCUCAUGAAUGGGAUCAGUGCCCUUAGAAAAGGGACCCCAGAAAGCUCCCUCACCCUUUCCACCAUGUGAGGACACAGUGAGAAGGUGCCAUCUAUGAACCAGGAAGCCCUCACCAGACACUGAAUCUGCCACACCUUGCUCCUGGACCUCCAGCCUCCAGAACCAUGAGCAAUAAACAUCUGUUGUCUACAAGCCUCCCAGCCCAAAUGGACUAGGACUCUAAGCUAGCAGUAACUGUCAUGGCAGGCAGGACGGAGAUGGAGGCAAUGAACUCAUGGCAAUACACAGGACAACCCAACAAGAAGUCCCAGAAAUCUUAACCAUCUCAGGAAUGGGAGACAGCAGGUGGCUCUCAAGGUGCAGACACAGGCGGGGCUGGAGACAGGAGCUUUGCACAGCAGUGCUUGUCAGAAGAAUUCUCCUCCUACUCCUUGCAGCCAGAUGAACACAUCUCGACAACUUGGACAAACUUACUUGUAAUUUUAACCAGUGAUGAAUAAGCAAAGAUCUAGAUUCAUGGACGCCGGAGAGAGCUGAGAGUAAAGUUCUGAAAUUCUGAUUGACUUCUUGACGCAAUCACAUGACAUCAAAAUUGCUGAAAAAGUCCCAUCACUACAGUGAAAGUAUCCAUGCACUGGAGAGCUGGAAGCAAGAGCGAGAUGCCCCCAGAUCCUAAACAGGGAAUCCAGCCAUUUGCUGAAGACAAAAACAGAAAUGGGAUCUUGCUAUGUCACCGAGGCUGGUCUCAAAUUCCAAGGCUCAGGCGAUCCUCCCACUUUGACCUCCUAAAAUGUUGAGAUCAUAAGCGUGAGCCGCUAUGCCUGGCCCAGUCUGGCCUUUCAUCUCAUGCACUAUGCUCAUCUAGGCGUUUCCUAAUGAAUGGUUACCAGCGAAGACAACGAGGACAUCCUCAAGGCUUUCUAUUGGAUUUUCUUUGGAAUCGCUCAAGAAAAGCCUCCAAAUAAACAGGCAUGUUUAGAAACAUUAUUUUUAGAAGUCGGCGCUUGAUACAUGAACAAAAUCGCUUUGAUUGCAUUCUACGUUUGCAGAUUUUUAAAACUUAGUUUGUAGAAAGAGUGGCUUAGGGUUUUAUGUUGUGAAUUUUAACUAAAUGACGUUCUGUCCAACUAUAAUAUUUGGCCACCCAGGGAUGAAUUAAUCCCUAUAAACCCAUUGAGAAUUCAAGACCCUCUAACUUGGGAACUGAGUAUAAUACACAUGUGGAAAAUUUCAUUUCACUCAGAAGUCCUAUAAUUUUUCAUUUUUUCAAAAGUUGGUUUUGGUUUGUUUUGUCUUGUUUUCUUUUAGCUUUUAAGUUCAGAGGUACAUGUGCAGGUUUGUCACAUAAGUACACUUGUGUCACGGAGGUUUGUUGUACAGAUAAUUUCACCACCCAGGUAUUAAACCUAGUGACCCUUAGUUAUCAUUCCUGAUCCUCUCCCUCCUCCCACCCUUCACUCUCCAAAAUGCCCCAGUAUGUGUUGUUCCCCUCUAUGUGUCCAUGUGUUCUCAUCAUUUAGCUCCCACUGAUAAGUGAGAACAUGCUGUAUUUGUUUUUCUCUUCCUGUGUUAGUUUGCUAAGGAUAAUGGCCUCUAGCUCCACCCAUGUCCCUGUAAAGGACAUGAUCUUGUUUGUUUGUUUGUUUGUUUUUGCGACAGAGUCUCACUCUGUUGCCCAGGCUAGUAGCACAAUCAUAGCUCACACAACCUCUACCUCCUGGGCCCAAGUGAUCCUCCCAUCUCAGCCUCCCAAGUAGCUGUGACUACAGGCAUGCACCACCAGGCUGGGCUAAUGUUUAAUUUUUUUUGUAGAGACAGAGUCUCAUCAUGUCUGCCAGGCUAGUCUCAAACUCACAGCCUCAAGAAAUCCAAGAGGACAUUUCUUUUUUUUUUUUUUUUGAGACGGAGUCUUGCACUGUGGCCCAGGAUAGAGUGCAGUGAUGCGAUCUCAGCUCACUGCAACCUCCGCCUCCCAGGUUCAAGCGAAUCUCCUGCCUCAGCCUCCCGAGUAGCUGGAAUUACAGGCACCCGCCACCAUGCCUGGCUAAUUUCUUUGUAUUUUUAGUAGAGACGGGGUUUCACCGUGUUAGCUAGGAUGGUCUCGAUCUCCUGACCUUGUGAUCCGCCCGCCUUGAUCUCCCAGAGUGCUGGGAUUACAGGCAUGAGCCACCGCACCCGGCCAAGUUUCAGCUGUUUUUAAAAGGCGUCCCUUUGGACAUUAUUAUUAUUGUUAUUAUUAUUAUUGUUUUUUAGACAGAGUUUUGCUCUUGUUGCCCAGGCUGGAGUGCAAUGGCGUCAUCUCAGCUCACUGCAACAUGAUCUCAUUCACUCGCCUGCCUCCCAGGUUCAAGCAAUUCUCCUGCCUCAGCCUCCCAAGUACCUGGGAUUGUAGGCAUGCACUACCACGCCUGGCUAAUUUUGUCUUUUUAAUACAGAUGAGGUUUCAUCAUGUUGAUCAGGCUGGGUCUCGAACUCCUGACCUCAAGUGAUCCACCCACGUCGGCCUCCCAAAGUGCUGGGAUUACAGGCGUAAGCCACCGUGCCCAAUCCCAUUGGACAUUAUGUCUCUAGAGAAUCAGGCCCUGAAAAAUGGCAAAAAGGUGGCUUCUAAGACUGGGAAUGAUGGUGAUUCAGCUGGGCUAAGACCACAGCAGAUCUCUGAUAACCGUGGUUUUACAUACAUUUAUAAAAUCAAUUUCAUCAUCUUCAAUUAGUCACAAUGGGCCCGGCCCAUCAGCAGAGGCAGAAGUACUGAAGAUUGUACUGGAAUGUAGCCAACUCCUAGGCUAUAGUGAAGUCCUAACAUGUAAAGCCAAAACUAACCCAUGAUGGUACCGUCCUGUGACAAGGAAAAAAUGAGAAGAGAAGAUUGCAAAGCUACCAACAGUGAAUCAGUCCUUGUAAGGAACAUGCUAGGCAUUGGGGAUGACUCGAUAAUGCAUGAAAAUACUCAAGCCCCAAUAAAUGGCUCAUCUGAGAAAACGAGAAUGAACUAUGUUGAGCAUGAGAAAAGACGGAUUCUAUUCCUGGGACGCAGUAGGCACGCAACCAAGGGCAUUACCGUAAUUAUGGUGAUAUCUGAGUACUAAAAUUUGAAACUGUAUUGCUGUAACUAAACGUUUAUCAGAAUUCCCUUCCUGCCUUCUAAGACCAAAUCAUAGGUGGAUAUAUCCUCAGGAAAUGAUAGAGUUUCCAUUCCUGGCGUGGUCUAAACAGGAAUUGAUCACUGUAUUGCUUGGAGGACCCCUUUCCAGAUGCCCUGGGAAGACCUCUUACACUUGGUCAAAUAACAAAGUAUGGAGGCACUGUGUGUUUCUGAAGCUAUGGUUUUUGUUGUUGUUGUUGUUUGUUUGUUUGUUUUUAGUUCAUGUCUUUUAUUAACUCAUACACAGUUACUUGUCU